CGUAGGGCAAGCGUUGUCCGGAAUCAUUGGGCGUAAAGCGCGUGUAGGCGGUUCGGUAAGUCUGCUGUGAAAGUCCAGGGCUCAACCCUGGGAUGCCGGUGGAUACUGUCGGACUAGAGUACGGAAGAGGCGAGUGGAAUUCCCGGUGUAGCGGUGAAAUGCGCAGAUAUCGGGAGGAACACCAAUUGCGAAGGCAGCUCGCUGGGACGUCACUGACGCUGAGACGCGAAAGCGUGGGAGCAAACAGGAUU
rnacentral:rRNA from 1 species